rnacentral:rRNA from 1 species
CAGCAGCCGCGGUAAAACGUAGGUGGCAAGCGUUGUCCGGAAUUAUUGGGCGUAAAGGGCUCGCAGGCGGUUUCUUAAGUCUGAUGUGAAAGCCCCCGGUUCAACCGGGGAGGGUCAUUGGAAACUGGGAAACUUGAGUGCAGAAGAGGAGAGUGGAAUUCCACGUGUAGCGGUGAAAUGCGUAGAGAUGUGGAGGAACACCAGUGGCGAAGGCGACUCUCUGGUCUGUAACUGACGCUGAGGAGCGAAAGCGUGGGGAGCGAACAGGAUUAGAUACCCCGGUAGUCCCUGUCUCUUAUAC